UAUAUAAAAAAUAACUUAUAAGUUCGAAGAUCUGAUCCUCCUGACUGUGUUAUCAGAUAUCUUGGUGGAAAGACAGGUCAAACUUUGUUCUUUAGAGAAUAAUAAUAAUCUUACAAGAAGAUAAAAGAAAAAUACCUCACUGUAGUCUCAUAUCUUAUGAAUUUUAGCUAGCCUGAUUAAAGAAUAUGUUUUAAAAGUUAGAUCAAUGGUCAAAAACUAAGCUAAUUAUAUCAUCGAUUAAAGCUAACACUCAUUACUACCAUAAUAAUACAUGGCUAGCUUGACACAAUAACGCCUAUAACUAAACACAGUCCACUGUGAUAACUAAUUUUCCUACUUUAACCACUCUCACGAAACGAUUUUAAACGACCAGAACGUCGUGUUGUAAUGUUACAGGAAGUAUCGGGAACGUGAAAUAUCAUGGCGUUUUUUAAUAGUUGGCCAGUUCUACUACUAGCCCACCUUUUCUUUCGAAGAAAUGCUGCUGAAUCAACCUGGAAAGUUAGCUGGUAGAGUUGUGGAAAGAGGUUAGUGAUUGUGGGCCGCAAGACGAUAUUAAUACAAACCAUAGAAAGAUGUAACUAUCCUUGUCAAAAUUGAUUUUCAGAUAGUCAAGAUUUAAUCCAAAUAAGGUGGGCCUAGUAUAGACUUGAUUAGGAGCAUUGCCAUAUAUCAUUCCAGAGGCCUAUCUUAGAUGAUUGAGCUUCUAGACCAAGUAGAGGGUUCUGAUGCUGCAGAGAACUUACUAAACAAACAUAAACAGAUUACUUGGAGUCAAAGUUUCCUCAAGGAAGACAGAAUCAAGCUUAAAGACACAAGAGUUUAUACAAGAUUCAGAUUCAGAUUCAGACAACUUUACUCUAAGGCAAAAAGAUCAAAAAGUCUAUCCUAUAUAGACUAACCUUUCUCUUUCAUUUACUCUUAUCAACUAACAAAAGUACAAAACUUCCAGUAACCCUAAUGGCUCUCUCUUCGCCUACAAGAAUCCUCUGUUUUGCUCUUGCUUUAUCGGCUGCAUCUCUGUCCCUCUCAUUCGCUCUGCUUCCCACGACUUCUCCAUCGUUGGAUAUUCCCCUGAGGAUUUGGAAGCUCAUGAUAAACACAUCGAGCUCUUCGAAAACUGGCUCUCCAACUUCGAGAAAGCUUAUGAAACCGUUGAAGAGAAGUUGCGUAGGUUCGAAGUUUUCAAGGAUAACCUGAAACACAUCGAUGAGACUAAUAAGAAGGUGAAAAGCUACUGGCUUGGUCUCAACGAGUUUGCGGAUUUGAGCCACAAAGAAUUCAAGAAUAAGUAUGUAAUGACCCUAAAUGUAAUGAUCCCAAAAAUUUGACCCAAACUAUCCCCAAAGGCCAUUUUGCCUUUCUUUAAGAGAGAGAGAGAGAGAGAGGAAGAAGAGGAAGGGAGAAAGCUCACCUGAGCUCGUCGCCGGAGCAACCGUGUGCCGUGACCACGUUGAGCUCGUCACCACCGUUCGCUGCAGCUUAGAAUCGCCGGAAACCGCCAUGCAGUUAAGCUUAGUUUCGUCCGUUUAGUAAUUCGCCGAUAACUCUCUAACCGUUACGAAUAUCGUGCAUCUAAGACCAUCAUCGUGUUCCUCUCGUCAAGACGAAGCCGUAGACACCAACCACGCCUCAAUCGGAGCCCGGACGAAGCCGCACGCGCCUCCCGAAGAUUCGCCUCGGCGCGCGCGUGAAACACACGCGCCGCCGCCGUCCGCCGCAACUCCGCCGCCGGACCACCGUCCUCCGCCGCAACUCCGCCGCCGGAACACCGUCCUCCGCCGCAGCUCCGCCGUCGCCGCCGGCAAACUUUCCGAUUUGGAAUCCAUUUGAGCAGAUGGAGUUCAUAUAUAACACUUCUCUUCAUUGCUAAGGUGAGACCGACGAGCAGGAGUGAUUAUACCGGACCGGUGCUUUUGGGCUUUUACUACUAUUGGGCUUUUGGGCUUCUAUCGUUUUAUCGCUUUUAUCGUUAUCGGGUCUCUAGGCCUUUGGGCUUUUAUCGUUUAUGUUAUUUCGUAUUUCGGACUCUCGGUUUAUGUCGUACUUUAUGUUUCAGAUUUUAUUUUAUAUUAUGGAAUUCAAGCGUGGAUGUUGACUUUCAAAUAUUUAUAUAUGGAUAUUUCAGAUA